rnacentral:ncRNA from 2 species
GUGGUGAGCCGUGACUGGCGCGCUGGGAUGGAAUUCACCAUCAGGGAGCGGCUCCGUAGGGUGCUCUGAGGGCACCGUGUGCUGUCGCCGUGCGCCUGGGCCGUCCGA